GUCUGGCCUGCUCACUGAAUUUUUUAAGAGCCGCGGUAUUUUGACCGUGCAAAGGUAGCAUAAUCAUUAGUCUCUUAAUUGAAGGCUGGAAUGAAUGGCUUGACGAGAAAUCGACUGUCUCUUAAUAAUUUUUAAAAUUUAACUUUUGAGUCAAAAGGCUUAAAUUUUUCUUUAGGACGAGAAGACCCUAUAGAGCUUGACAUUCUACUUUUAUAUAAUUUUAAGAUAGUCUUUUUAUAUAAAAUGACAAUGUUUUGUUGGGGUGACAUGAAGAAUUAACAAACUCUUCAUUAUAAAAUCAUUAAUUUAUGUUUAUUUUGAUCCAUAAUUUAUGAUCAUAAGAUUAAGUUACCUUAGGGAUAACAGCGUAAUUGUUUUUGAGAGCUCAUAUCGACAAA
rnacentral:rRNA from 1 species